AUUGUGCAACGCCGCGACCUAAAAUCGAUCGACUCACUGAGUUGCAUCGGGCGAGUCCACUCAGGCCAUGUACACAAGGAGAGCUGCCGUCGUCUCGCUCACUUCUCUGAGACGCGCAAUCAACGUAUGUCGGAGAAAUCCCUCCGAUUUUAGCUGCUCCGUGGAAAUCCCUAAUUUUGGUAGAAGUUUCAGAGCUGGAGCUGAAACAGCUGAUGUUUACAGCAAUUUUGAUGGGGAUAGCGCUGAAUAUCAAUCUGGUUACGUGAAUUUCAAUCGAAAUGAUCAGUUUGGAAGUAUUUCAGGGGGGAUUGAGCAGGACCAAAACCCUAGUAGGGUUUAUGGUCAAAUUGGGGGUAAAAGAUUGAAUUUAUCCGAUUCGUAUGGUAAUGGUAGCGGUGGUGUUCGGAAUCAAUCGGGUUAUAAUUCUUCGAGUUUUGAUAGUUGGAAUCAUGGCCGGAGUUUUGGGGGGCAGAUGGGAAAUGGAACGUUUCAGCAGAAUGUGAGCUCUAAUGGCGGAGGUUUGGAUGCGAUGCCACUUAAUCAUGGCGGAAUGCGUUUAGAGAAUUCGAGGGGAGGUUCUUAUGGUGGGAGGGCGGAUAUGCAGGUGAAGAAUGGUGGUGAUUAUGGAGUUCAUCCGCAAAAUGUUGCUGGGAGUUAUCAUUUUAAUGCAGGGAACUACCAGAGAACUGUUAGUGAAUCUCAGAGUGGAGUAGUAACGGAUUAUGGAGUAUCGGCUGAUUUGGCUAUGAAUGCGGAGAGUCGAGCCACUAGCAAACUGGAUGAUCUUGAUCAACUCACAAGGGGUGGGAAAGUGAAGGAAGCAGUGGAGCUGCUGGAGUUGCUUGAGAAGGAGAGGAUCCGAGUUGAUAUACCUCGGUUUAUGGCAUUGGUUAAAUCAUGUGGUGAGAAUGAGGCUUUGGCUGAAGCUAAAUCUGUCCACAAGCAUCUUGUGAAGUCGAUGGCUCAUCUUGAAGUGAGAAUGUAUAAUCAGAUAAUUGAGAUGUAUUCCAAAUGUGGUUCUAUGGAAGAUGCUUUUGCAGUCUUUGAUCAAAUGCCUGAACGUAAUCUGACGUCUUGGGAUAUUAUGAUAUCUUGGCUUGCUAAGAAUGGCCAUGGAGAAGAGUCCCUCGAAUUGUUUGCAGAGUUUAAGCAAUCCGGGCUAAGACCUGAUGGACUGAUGUUUCUUGGGGUGUUUUCUGCGUGUGGUGUAAUAAGUGAUGUUGUUGAAGGAAUGCUGCACUUCGAGUCCAUGAUGAGAGAUUAUGGUGUCGUUCCUGGUAUGGAGCACUAUGCUAGCAUAGUGGACAUGUUGGGAACUGCAGGGUGCGUAGAUGAAGCCAUGGAAUUCAUUCAAAGUAUGCCAGUCGAGCCAUCUGUGGAAAUAUGGGAGACCUUGAUGAAGUUUUGUAGAAUACACGGAAAUGUGGUGCUUGGUGAUCAAUGUGCUGAGCUUGUUCAACUCCUUGAUCCCACACGCCUGAAUGAGCAAUCAAGGGAAGGCCUCAUACCACUGUCUGCCAGUGAUAUGAACAAAGAGAAAGAGAAAAAGAAAUCAACUGGUCAAGGCCCCCUCGAUGUUAGGCAUAGAGUCCACGAAUACAGAGCAGGAGAUAGAUCCCAUCCCGAUAAUGAAAGACUAUACGGAUUGCUGAGGUCAUUGAAGCAGCAUAUGAAAGAGGUUGGAUACAUACCAGAGAUCAGAUGUGUGCUCCAUGAUGUGGACCAAGAAACCAAGGAGGAAGCUCUUAUGGCUCAUAGCGAGAGACUUGCAGCCGCACAUGCUUGAAACGUGACAGGAUUCUAUCAAGACCUGAUAUAUGGAAGUAAACGCUAUGGUGCGGAUGAAAGGGGAGAUGUUAAAUGCCGGGUUUUUAGAUUCCCGAGCACCAUGUCGACGUAUGUCGAGUGGGGAUAAGAGGAGAGGAUAGUGGAGUUUAAGAGGAAAGGGCUCAUAUAAUCAUUGCUGCCAAUGCUGAACAUGUAAACUGCAGUUGAUGAUAUUCUUGCUGCUUCAGCUUUGCCUAUUUUCUUGCUUAGUUCAGCAAUUUCUCUCUUGUAGUAUUUUAGCUGUGUUUUGAGAUCAAUUACCUAUAAAAAAGCAUAAA